UGGGCGUUAAGUUGCAGGGUAUAGACCCGAAACCCGGUGAUCUAGCCAUGGGCAGGUUGAAGGUUGGGUAACACUAACUGGAGGACCGAACCGACUAAUGUUGAAAAAUUAGCGGAUGACUUGUGGCUGGGGGUGAAAGGCCAAUCAAACCGGGAGAUAGCUGGUUCUCCCCGAAAGCUAUUUAGGUAGCGCCUCGUGAAUUCAUCUCCGGGGGUAGAGCACUGUUUCGGCAAGGGGGUCAUCCCGACUUACCAACCCGAUGCAAACUGCGAAUACCGGAGAAUGUUAUCACGGGAGACACACGGCGGGUGCUAACGUCCGUCGUGAAGAGGGAAACAACCCAGACCGCCAGCUAAGGUCCCAAAGUCAUGGUUAAGUGGGAAACGAUGUGGGAAGGCCCAGACAGCCAGGAUGUUGGCUUAGAAGCAGCCAUCAUUUAAAGAAAGCGUAAUAGCUCACUGGUCGAGUCGGCCUGCGCGGAAGAUGUAACGGGGCUAAACCAUGCACCGAAGCUGCGGCAGCGACACUAUGUGUUGUUGGGUAGGGGAGCGUUCUGUAAGCCUGUGAAGGUGGCCUGUGAGGGUUGCUGGAGGUAUCAGAAGUGCGAAUGCUGACAUAAGUAACGAUAAAGCGGGUGAAAAGCCCGCUCGCCGGAAGACCAAGGGUUCCUGUCCAACGUUAAUCGGGGCAGGGUGAGUCGACCCCUAAGGCGAGGCCGAAAGGCGUAGUCGAUGGGAAACAGGUUAAUAUUCCUGUACUUGGUGUUACUGCGAAGGGGGGACGGAGAAGGCUAUGUUGGCCGGGCGACGGUUGUCCCGGUUUAAGCGUGUAGGCUGGUUUUCCAGGCAAAUCCGGAAAACCAAGGCUGAGGCGUGAUGACGAGGCACUACGGUGCUGAAGUGACAAAUGCCCUGCUUCCAGGAAAAGCCUCUAAGCAUCAGGUAACAUCAAAUCGUACCCCAAACCGACACAGGUGGUCAGGUAGAGAAUACCAAGGCGCUUGAGAGAACUCGGGUGAAGGAACUAGGCAAAAUGGUGCCGUAACUUCGGGAGAAGGCACGCUGAUAUGUAGGUGAAGCGACUUGCUCGUGGAGCUGAAAUCAGUCGAAGAUACCAGCUGGCUGCAACUGUUUAUUAAAAACACAGCACUGUGCAAACACGAAAGUGGACGUAUACGGUGUGACGCCUGCCCGGUGCCGGAAGGUUAAUUGAUGGGGUUAGCGGUAACGCGAAGCUCUUGAUCGAAGCCCCGGUAAACGGCGGCCGUAACUAUAACGGUCCUAAGGUAGCGAAAUUCCUUGUCGGGUAAGUUCCGACCUGCACGAAUGGCGUAAUGAUGGCCAGGCUGUCUCCACCCGAGACUCAGUGAAAUUGAACUCGCUGUGAAGAUGCAGUGUACCCGCGGCAAGACGGAAAGACCCCGUGAACCUUUACUAUAGCUUGACACUGAACAUUGAGCCUUGAUGUGUAGGAUAGGUGGGAGGCUUUGAAGUGUGGACGCCAGUCUGCAUGGAGCCGACCUUGAAAUACCACCCUUUAAUGUUUGAUGUUCUAACGUUGGCCCCUAAUCGGGGUUGCGGACAGUGUCUGGUGGGUAGUUUGACUGGGGCGGUCUCCUCCUAAAGAGUAACGGAGGAGCACGAAGGUUGGCUAAUCCUGGUCGGACAUCAGGAGGUUAGUGCAAUGGCAUAAGCCAGCUUGACUGCGAGCGUGACGGCGCGAGCAGGUGCGAAAGCAGGUCAUAGUGAUCCGGUGGUUCUGAAUGGAAGGGCCAUCGCUCAACGGAUAAAAGGUACUCCGGGGAUAACAGGCUGAUACCGCCCAAGAGUUCAUAUCGACGGCGGUGUUUGGCACCUCGAUGUCGGCUCAUCACAUCCUGGGGCUGAAGUAGGUCCCAAGGGUAUGGCUGUUCGCCAUUUAAAGUGGUACGCGAGCUGGGUUUAGAACGUCGUGAGACAGUUCGGUCCCUAUCUGCCGUGGGCGCUGGAGAACUGAGGGGGGCUGCUCCUAGUACGAGAGGACCGGAGUGGACGCAUCACUGGUGUUCGGGUUGUCAUGCCAAUGGCACUGCCCGGUAGCUAAAUGCGGAAGAGAUAAGUGCUGAAAGC
rnacentral:rRNA from 1 species